rnacentral:rRNA from 1 species
UAGAGUUUGGAUCAUGGCUCAGAUUGAACGCUGGCGGCAGGCCUAACACAUGCAAGUCGAGCGGUAACAGGAAGGAAGCUUGCUUUCUUUGCUGACGAGCGGCGGACGGGUGAGUAAUGCCUGGGAAAUUGCCCUGAUGUGGGGGAUAACCAUUGGAAACGAUGGCUAAUACCGCAUGAUGCCUACGGGCCAAAGAGGGGGACCUUCGGGCCUCUCGCGUCAGGAUAUGCCCAGGUGGGAUUAGCUAGUUGGUGAGGUAAUGGCUCACCAAGGCGACGAUCCCUAGCUGGUCUGAGAGGAUGAUCAGCCACACUGGAACUGAGACACGGUCCAGACUCCUACGGGAGGCAGCAGUGGGGAAUAUUGCACAAUGGGCGCAAGCCUGAUGCAGCCAUGCCGCGUGUAUGAAGAAGGCCUUCGGGUUGUAAAGUACUUUCAGUGGUGAGGAAGGGAGUGUGGUUAAUAGCCAUAUUUCUUGACGUUAGCCACAGAAGAAGCCCG